rnacentral:rRNA from 1 species
UACAGAGGUCUCAAGCGUUGUUCGGAUUCAUUGGGCGUAAAGGGUGUGUAGGUGGCGCGCUAAGUCGGGUGUGAAAUUUCGGAGUCUACUCCGAAACUGCAUUCGAUACUGGCGUGCUUGAGGACUGGAGAGGAGACUGGAAUUCAUGGUGUAGCAGUGAAAUGCGUAGAGAUCAUGAGGAAGACCAGUGGCGAAGGCGGGUCUCUGGACAGUUCCUGACACUGAGGCACGAAGGCCAGGGGAGCAAACGGG